ensembl:miRNA gmo-mir-11202 gmo-mir-11202
UUCCGGUUCGAAGGACCAAUAUUGUAGAAUGUAUGUGUGUGUUUGCUGGGAUC